ACUCACUGUCAGACACUGCAGAGUGAGAAACAGAUGAUGGUUCUGUGGCAAACGUCCUUUUGCUGAAUAUUCUACCUACGGAAGAAGCAAAGAAGUCUAAGUUCUUUGGAGUAAGAUGCUCUCAAAUGCCUAGGAACACUGAUCUCCUAACUUGUCUUCCUGCUUUGAGUGUCCCUCUGAGGUUAAAGUUCCUGCCUCAGUCUCCAACAAUGGGACAGGGUCUCACCACGUUUACCAUGUUGCCCAGGCUGGUUUCGAACUCAUGGGCUCAAGCAAUUCACAUGCCUUGGCCUCCCAAAGUGCUGGGAUUAUAGGCAUGAGCCACUGCGCCCAGUCUGAUGGCUUUAUUUUUGAUACAGGGAUGCAAGGUGCCCAGACUGUGCAAAGCAAUGGCAGCUGCAUGGAGUCCAGAGAGAGCACCUGGAGGCCUGGAAGGCUUCCAAAAGAAAGUGAGUUUGCACUCCUCUGAGAUACAAGACAAGUAUUUGGAAGAUGCAGGAUUUUACUGAAGUUCUCAUGGAAGGCUUUGGGCCCACUGAUCCCAUCCAUGGGCAUUUUGUCCCCUCCACAAUCCAGCUGAGGGCUGGACUUCCCUGGGACCAUUCUCAGGGGUCACAGGCAUAACCUGUCCAUGCAUUAAAGGUUGGCGCAGAAACUUGGGGCACCUCCAGCCAUUAAUUCAGAUUCAUCUGUUUCAACGUAUUCCCAUCCACCCACAGACUACUGGGGGCCACCCAGAGGCCUGAGUUUCCACCAGUUUCUCACAUGAGAGAAAGCUGAAGGAAAAGGUAUGAAGGCGGAUUUCACUGUUGACAGGUUGUCUUUCAAGUGUGGGUCCUGGCGUUUAUGAGGCAAUGAUGAGACACCUAGAAAGAAGCACAUCUCUGAGACAUGACAGUUCAGUCCCAAAGGCCAUUAAUAGAGGGCCAGCUCAUCAACACAGCUGCAGAAACAGAGCACAGCCAGCCUCGCAGCCCCACACGCUGAAGCCCCCGCUGCAGCAUUCCAUCUACUCUAGCGCCCAUGCAAAUUGAAAACCUAAAAUAGUUCACUCCCCAUAGCCACUGGCUUUGAAGAAUCUCUUUUGUCUCCAUGAAAUAGCUCCAGGAGACAGAACCCAGAGAAAAACUUUUUGAAGUGAACUUUUUCCUUAUAAUUUUAUUUAAAUUUGAAUAUUUUUGUAGAAAUAAUAAAGUUAUCCACUAAUUAUCUGUGUGACACAAAACAAUCUCAUUUUAAUUAUGGCUAGUUGUUAUGUACUUUAAAUACAAUUAGAAAGUUACUGAGUUUAGACUGAGGGUUUUCUGACACAAUCACAUCUCUGUCUUUUUAAAAUUUAUUUUUAUUUUUAUUUAUUUUAUUUUUUUAAGGGACAGGGUCUUGCCCUGUCUCCCAGGCUGGAGUAUGGUAGCUUGAUCGUAGCUCACUAUAGUCUCAAACUCCUGCACUUAAGCAAUCCUCCCAAAUAGCUGGGACUACAGGCACAUGCCCCUACGCCUGGCUAUUUUUUAAAUUUUUUGUAGAGAUGGAGUCUCAUUAUGUUGCCCACGCCAACCUUGAACUCCUGGCCUCAAACAAUCCUCUUUUCUCAACCUCCCAAAGUGCCGGGAUUAUAGGCAUGAGCCACCAUGCCCGGCCUGUGUCUUGCUUUUUUUAAUUUAUAAAAGUAACACUUGUUCAUUGCAAGUUAUUUAUGUAUUAUGCACAUAUGUAUAUAUACACACAUGCACAUAUAUAAGUAUAUAUGUAUAUACAUCCAUAUAUAUGCACACAUAAAUAUAUACAUCUAUGUGUAUACAUACAUAUAUAUAAUCUGAGGAAUCAACUAAGCACCAGAAAUACUCAGCUUUACUCCCUGCUGGGCCUGCCUGGAAGCCAGCUAUUCCCACUGUUGGGAGCAGAGCCAGGCAUCAGCAUCAGCUCAUGAAGCUCCCAAUCAAGGUGAGAACUCUCCUGCACCCGUGCCCUUCAGCACUUCUGCUACUUCUGCCUAGUGGGCUCAGAAACAUCAGAUUGCCCCAAGUGCAAGUGCUGGAAAGACAGCAGCUCGGGAUGUCCUACUGGCCCUAGUUUGCCUGUGAUUUUCCAGAUUUAGAAAGUCUUGCAUCCUGGGCCUCCCAAUAGAGAGCAGAGAGACCACACCCCACUUUCCCUUCACAGCACCAGAUCUGAGUUCCAGGAGGUGCGAACAUUUAAGCCUAAAUCAGGUGGGAAGUUUGCCCAACACAAAGGAUUGAUGUUCUAUUUUUGUACUGAAUGAAAACUGUUUGCAACUUAACAUAAUUGUUACCAGUUACCUAAAAUGAGCAAAGAAACCAGAGUCCUGAUAUCAUUUUUAUACAGAGGCAGUGAUGGUGGGGACAAAAAAUUGUAUUUUAAUUGUAUAUAUCUAUACCUACACACACAUAUAAUUUUAUAACAGAAUUUUAAAAAAUCUUUUAGAAACACAGUUUCAUUCUGUUGCCUAGGCUGGACUGCAGUGGUGCUAUCAUAGUUCACCACAACCUCGAACUCCUGGGCUUAAGUGAUCCUACCAUCUCAGCCUUCCGGGUAGCUAGGACUAUAUGUGUGUGCCACCAUGGCUGGAUAAUUUUUCUUUUUUUGUAGAGACGGGCUCUCGUUAUGUUGCCAGGCUGGUCUUGAACUCCUGGCCUCUAGCAAUCCUCUUGCCUUGGCCUCCUGAAGUGCUGAGAUUGCAGGCAUGGGCCACCAUGCCCGGCCAACAGUAUAUUUUAAACAGUACUGUCUGACGCUUGCUUUACUUACAGCACAUCUAUUUCUAAAUCUAGAUAUCCUGUACAUUUAAAAAAUUAUGACGUACUCAUAUAAUUUGAUAUCCUCCACUUUAAGAUAAACCCACAUGUAAGAAUGUGCAGAGAUCCUAUACAAGUUUGUGUCAAUGAGUACACAUUUAGUGGAAUAUUCCACUAAAUUCUAAGGUCCAACAGCAUCAGCAUCACCUGGUAAUUUGUUAAAAGUGCAGGACCUGAGGCCCACCCAGACCUACUGAACUGGAAUCUUCAUUUUAACAAGAUCCCCAAGUGACCGAUUUGCACAGUAAGAUACUUCCAAACAAAAGGAACAGGAAGUUGUUGUCUUGUCUGUCUGCCGUUCAAGAGGACUGAAUACGUUCCAUUAAAUUCGCCUGCAAACUUUUCCUGAAGAGCCCAGCAAGCAGCGAUGAAAAUUACAGAGUGGCUCCCAGGCACUUUAGUGGGUAAUCAGCUGAAAUUGAGCUGUUUUCCAUAUUCUUUGCUGAUAAUGCAAAAGGAACCUUUAAAACAAACAGCUCCAAGUCACCACACAUCCUACAAGCUGAAAGGGCCCAUGUGGUCCACACAGAUGCUCCAGCCACACACCAAGCCCUGCUGCAGAGUAAUUGGUUCCCACAGCUAUCAGAGGUGAGAGCCAGCCGACUGCCUGUGCCUUCACAAAUGGCCAGGCUGAGCUAGACGGUUUAUGGGUCCAGGGCCAAUCAUCGGGAUAAAUUAGCUGUCAGGAAGUAAAAGCAGCUCUAGGGAAAUGGCUAGGUCUGUCUAAAAUCUCUGAUUUUCUUCACACUAGGCGCAGUUUAUCCUUGAAUGGUGCUUGCUCAUGCUGUCCAGGAGACAAGGACUCUGGGUUAAAGUAUAGGAUUCAGGACUCUAGGUCUAAAUAGACCCAGGUGUUAAAUGCCCAAGAUUAUCGACCAAAGUAGAAAAAAGAUGUAGGGAUUAGAGAUUCAGGAAAAGCUAUUUCCUCUAAGAUUUUCAUGGUUCUGAAUGGAGCAUCUGGGGAGAAAAUUCAUUUGGGGGUUGGGUUGCUAAGAGGCCAAGAGAAGGGAAAAUGGAAAGGACGCUAGCGUGACACAUGGUGGGACAUGCAGGGAGGGGCAAUGGACCCAGGCUUGAUUCAGAUGCCAACUUGCCAUGCCCUGGCUAUGUGUAAGCCAAAAAUGUAUCUGAGACAGGCCUCAAUCAAUUUAUUUUGCAAGGUUAAGGAUCAUGACCCACGGCCUUAGGAGGGCCUGAGAACAUGUGCCCAAAGUGGCUGGGUUACAGCUUGGUUUUGUAUUUUUAGGGAGAUAUAAGACAUCAAUCAAUAUGUGCGAGGUAUACAUUGGAUUGGUCUGGAAAAGUGGGACAACUUGAAGCACGGGCUUACAGGUCAUAGGUGAAUUCAAAGGUUUUCUGAUUGGCAAGUGGCUGAAAAGAGUUAAGUUACUAUCUAAAAGCCUGGAAUCAAUAGAAAGGAGUGUCUGGGUUAAGAUAAGGGGUUGUGGAGAUCAAAGUUCUUAUUAUGUAGAUAAGUCUCACAGAAGGCUGCCCUUAGAAGCAAUAGAUGGCAAAUGUUUCCUAUUCAGACCUUUCAAAGGUCCUAGACUCAGCCAGGCGCAGUGGCUCACGCCUGUAAUCCCUGCACUUUGGGAGACCGAGGUGGGCGGAUCACCUGAGGUCGGGCGUUCGAGACCAGCCUGACCAACAUAGAGAAACCCCUUCUCUACUAAAAAUACAAAAUUAGCCGGGUGUGGUGGCGCAUGCCUGUAAUCCCAACUAGGCAGAGGUUGCAGUGAGCCAAGAUCGCGCCAUUGCACUCCAGCCUGGGCAACAAGAGCGAAACUCUGUCUCAAAAAAAAAAAAAAUAUGCUAGACUCUCAGCUAAUCUCUUCAGGAUCAGAAAAGGACCUUGAAAGAAUGUAAAUUCCCACACCCCCUUCCCACAAGAGACAGCUUUGCAGGGCCAUUUCAAAAUAUGUCAGUAAGAUAUAUUUUGGGGUAAAAUAUUUCCAUUUCCUUCAGGGCCUGCUAUCUGUCAUCUGAUGUUAUACCUGACUCAGGUUGAAAUUGUUACUGUAUUGCUACAAAGAGUCUGUUUUGUCAGUUUUAAGAUCUCUGUUUGAAUGUUAAUGCUGGUUUGUUGCAUCUAAACUCCAAAAGGGAGCGAGUAGAAUGAAGCACGUCUGACCCCUACUUUCCAUAUAGCCUGGACUAGUUUUUUAGGUUUCUUUGGAAUCCCGUUGUCUGAGAAGGGGGCCCAUUCAAUUACUUAGGGGGCUAGGAAUUUUCUUUGUGGUUGACGUUCAUAACCUUAAUGGCGGCUUAAACUCUCUGACCCUUACUUUCUAUGAAAUAAUGUAAAAUCUCACAGGUAAGAUACUGUAGAUGAAGUCACCUAGGACAUAGUAGUUAUUUGAUAAAUUUUCUUUUCCUUCUUUCAUCCCCUGAAAAUGAACCAAACCUCACACCCUUUCCUCUCUUUACUCACAACCCAAACAUAAGAAAUGAAUGUGAAGGUUCAUAAAGAGCACAUAUCACUUUUAGAAAAGAUAAACUCAAUAUUUUUAGUACCACUUAUAAACAAUAAAUUUUUAUUCAAAAUAUUUACUUGCUAUAUAAACAGCUACCAGUUUAAUUUCAAUGGGAAAACCUAUUCUUAGCAUAUGUUUGAUGAGCAAAAUGUGGACAGAAAAAAAAAGUCCUACUGACUAAGUCCUGGAGAAGAUGAACACUCUUGUAUACGUUCAACAAUGGGUGUGUAAGUUAAUUGUAGAGAGCUCUUUUUUAGGGAGCAUUGUAAAUUACCUUGGAUCUGAAAAUUUCACUUCUGGAAACGUAAAUCGUAAUCAUAAAUAUCCACAAGGAUGUAGUUUCCAUAUUAUACAUUAUAUAAGCAAUAUGAAAAUGCUUAUAAAAACUAUUAUGUUUAUAUAAUUAUACAAUACAUGAAUAUAUGUCAUUGUAAAAAAAUUUACGUAACAUGGAAAUAUUACAUAAAAUAUGAAAGUUGCUUUUUACUCUCAUUUUCCUCACCCCACUUUCUCUAAAAGUAACCUCUAAUAAAGUCUGUUUAUACUUACGGAUAUUUUACUAAGCAUUUAAGACAUAUAUGUAUGUAUGUGUUACAUUCUCUGUAAUCCCAAUGCCAUUUAUUAUGUAGUUUACCUUCUGCUCAUGGAUUUGAAGUGCCAUUCAAAAAACAAACAAUUGUUAAUUGAUACAAUGUAUGUUAUGCAGAAUGAGGAACCUCUCCAAUGUCAAUAUGAAAGCUUACUAGGAUAUAUUAUUAUUAUUAUUAUUAUUAUUAUUAUUAUUGAGACAGAGUCUUGCUCUGUUGCCCAGGCUGGAGUGCAGUGGCAUGAUCUAGGCUCACUGCAAGCUCCGCCUCCUGGGUUCACGCCAUUCUCCUGCCUCAGCCUCCCGAGUAGAUGGGACUAGAGGCACCCGCCACCACGCCAAGGUAAUUUUUUGUAUUUUUAGUAGAGACAGGGUUUCACCAUGUUAGCCAGGAUGGUCUUGAUCUCCUGACCUCGUGAUCUGCCUGCCUCGACCUCCCAAAGUGCUGGGAUUACAGGCGUGAGCCACCGUGCCCGGCAAGGAUAUAUUAUUAAGUGGAAAAAAGAGUAAGGUAUGGAAAGACUGCAUAUACUAUUCAUGUAAGAAAGGGAGAAAAUAUGUAUUUGUUUUUGCUUAUAUUUGCAUAAAGAAAUAAAUAAUAAACAAAAUCAUAACAUAAGUGAUUAUCUGAAGGAGAUAUGAAGUGACAGAAUGGAGUGGAUGGGACAGAAAUGGGAAUAAUACUUCCUUGUGGCAGGCAGAAAAAUUACUCCAGGCCCUGGUAUGACUAUUUCCUUAUACCCAGAACCUGUGAAUGUUUGUUAGGCAGUGUGACAAAGAUGGAUUUUUUUAACUUUUGUUUUAGGUUAGGGGGUACAUGUGAAGGUUUGUUACACAGGUAAACUCCUGUCAUGAGGGUUUGUUAUACAGAUUAUUUCAUCAUGCAGGUACUAAGCCCAGUACCCAAUAGUUAUCUUUUCUGUUCCUCCCUAUCCUCUCACCCUCUGCCCUCAAGUAGACCAAUGUCUGCUGUUUCCUUCUUUGUGUUCAUAAGUUCUCAUCACUUAGCUCCCACUUAUAAAUGAGCACAUGCGGUAUUUGGUUUUAUGUUCCUGCAUUAGUUUGCUAAGGAUAAUGGCCUCCAGCUCUAUCCAUGUUCCCACAAAAGACAUGAUCUUAUUCUUUUAUAUGGCUGCAUGGUAUUCCAUGGUGUAUACGUACCACAUGUUCUUUAUCCAAAGUGUCAAUGAUGGACAUUUAGGUUAAUUCCAUGUCUUUGCUAUCGUGAAUAGGGCUGCAGUGAACAUUUGCGUGCAUGUGUCUUUAUGGUAAAAUGAUUUACAUUCCUCUGGGUAUAUACCCAGUAAUGGGAUUGCUGAGUCAAAUGGUAGUUCUGCUUUUUGGCAGUUUCCUCUUUGAGGAAUCUGCAGAUGUAAUUAAGGUUUCUAACCAAAUGACCAUAAGAUGGGGAAAGUAUGCUGGAUUAUCCAGGUGGACCCAAUGUAAGCAUAGUGGCCUUGAGAUAGAAGAGGGAGAGAGACAAAAGGCGAGGGUCAGAGGAAGAGCUGACUAUGGAAGAAAAGCAAGCUCUGAAAGCUGCAAGGUUGCUGGCUUUGAAGAUGGAGGAGGGGCCAAGAGCUAAGGAAUACAGGCAGCCUCCAGCAGCUGAAGGGGGCAAGAAAACAGACUCUCCUUUAGAGACUCCAAAAAGAUAUGCACCCUGCUGAGUAAUCAAUUUCAGUCUUUUGAGAUCAAGGUUGACCCUCUAACCUACAGAACUAUAAAAUAAUAAAUUUGGGUUAUUUAAACCUCCAAGUUUGUGGUAAGUUGUUACAGAGACUGAAUAUAUUCUUUCAGCUUUUAUAUUGUUUCAUUUUUUGAACCAUGUCAAUAUAAAGCCAUUAUAUUAAAUCAAAUUCUCAGUUUCCAGAAAAAUUAAAUGCCACCUUUAUCAUAUACUAAAUGGACAGUCUGUACAUAAGUCUGUUUCCACAGGUCUGUUUAUGGAUUUUUAAAAUUCUAUUCCAUUGAUCCAUUUCCCUAACUUCUGACCAAUAUAACAUUGUUUUAAUUAUUAUUAUCUAUGCAUUUAUUUUUAUAUCAGG
rnacentral:lncRNA from 1 species